UUCUUGAAAAUAAAAAAAGUUGGCGGUAUUUUAGACCAUUCAGAGGAACCUGUUCUGUAAAUGAUACUCCACGUUUUAAUUGUCCUAAGUUUUAAAUUUGUAUAUCGUUGUAAUUUAAAUAUUUUAAGUGAAAGUAUAAUAUUUAAAAUUUUAUAUUGAAAAAUACAUCAAAUCAUGGUAUAGUUGAUAUUUAGGAUUUAAUGGGUUACAUUAAUAGAAAUUUUUGGAUUAAAAUUUGAAAUAAUUUUAUGAAAUUGGAUUUGAAAGUAAAAGAAAUAACUUUAUUUUUUUGAGUUAGGCUCUAAAAUAUGUACAUAUUGCCCGUCGCUUUCAUAUUAAAAUGAAAUAAGUCGUAACAAAGUAGGUGUACUGGAAAGUGUACCUAGAAUUCAAAUUAAAGCUUAAGUAAGCAGUUUACUUACAUUAAAAAGAUUGUUGUUAAAUUCAAUAUAAUUUGAAUUUAUUGUUUUAUUAGUAAAUAAUUGUUAAAUUUAAAAUUAAGAAAAAUAUUUAAUUGUUAAAGUAAAUUCUAUGAACUAAUUUUUUUUAUUAUAGAUAACUAGUAUUGAAAAAGAAUUAUAUUAAAUAAUUAAAAGAAAAAGUAAUUUUUGUACCUGGGUAUCAGGGANNNNNNNNNNUUCUCGGAAGUCAAAGAUUUAAUUUAAUUUAGAUUUUACUGUAGAAUAAUUAUUUAAAAAAUUAAAUUAGAAAUGAAACGUUAAACGUUUUUGGUAUAUCUAGUUUUUUUAGAAAAAAGUUUAAUUUUUACGUUAAUAAAUAGAAUUUUUAUGGUUAAAAUUUUUAUUUUUAAUGUAGUAUUUAUUUAGGGAUAAGCUUAGAUAAAAAGUUUUAUAAAUUGUCUAUAAAGUUUAAUAAAUAUAAUUAAAAAUUUUAAUUUUUAGAAAUUUGUUGUAAUUAAUUAAAAUAAAAUAUUGAUUUAGCAUAAUUUUGAAUUUUUUAUAAAAAUAUUUUUUUUACAAAUAAAAAAAAAGAAAUAAUGAUAAAAUUAGUACAAUAAAUUUACUAAGUUGAAUUAAUUUAAAAUCUAGAAUAGGAACUCGGCAAAAAUGGUUCUCACCUGUUUACUAAAAACAUGUCUUAUUGAAAAUAUUUUUAAGUUUGGCCUGCCCACUGUGAAAUUAAUGGCCGCGGUAUUUUGACCGUGCAAAGGUAGCAUAAUCAGUAGUUUUUUAAUUGAGAGCUGGAAUGAAAGGUUGGAUGAGGAACCUUCUGUCUUCACUAGAAUUAAUUAGAAUUUUAUUUUUAAGUAAAAAAGCUUAAAUAUCAGUAAAAGACGAGAAGACCCUAUAGAGUUUGAUUUUUAUUUAAGUAUGAUUUAAAAGAAUUUAA
rnacentral:rRNA from 1 species